rnacentral:rRNA from 1 species
CGCCCUUAGAGUUUGAUCCUGGCUCAAGAUAAACGCUGGCGGCGCACAUAAGACAUGCAAGUCGAACGGAAGUCGUUAUAAAACGGAUUGAAGAUUUAUCAGAUUGAAGUUUUAUAACAAUGGCUUUAGUGGCGGACUGGUGAGUAACGCGUAAGGAAUCUACCUGUUAGAGGGGAAUAACAAUGAGAAAUCAUUGCUAAUACCGCAUAUGCUAUAAACAUCGCAUGAUGAAAGUGGGAAAGGAGCAAUCCGCUGAUAGAUGAUCUUGCGUCUGAUUAGUUAGUUGGUGGGGUAAUGGCCUACCAAGACGACGAUCAGUAGCCGGACUGAGAGGUUGAACGGCCACAUUGGGACUGAGAUACGGCCCACACUCCUACGGGAGGCAGCAGUCGGGAAUAUUGCGCAAUGGAGGAAACUCUGACGCAGUGACGCCGCGUGCAGGAAGAAGGUUUUCGGAUUGUAAACUGCUUUAGACAGGGAAGAGAAAGGACAGUACCUGUAGAAUAAGCUCCGGCUAACUACGUGCCAGCAGCCGCGGUAAUACGUAGGGAGCGAGCGUUAUCCGGAUUUAUUGGGUGUAAAGGGUGCGUAGACGGGAAUACAAGUUAGUUGUGAAAUACCUCGGCUUAACUGAGGAACUGCAACUAAAACUAUAUUUCUUGAGUGCAGGAGAGGUAAGUGGAAUUCCUAGUGUAGCGGUGAAAUGCGUAGAUAUUAGGAGGAACACCAGUGGCGAAGGCGACUUACUGGACUGAAACUGACGUUGAGGCACGAAAGUGUGGGGAGCAAACAGGAUUCGAUACCCUGGUAGUCCACACCGUAA